UACGUAGGGUGCAAGCGUUAAUCGGAAUUACUGGGCGUAAAGCGUGCGCAGGCGGCUAUGCAAGACAGAUGUGAAAUCCCCGGGCUCAACCCGGGAACUGCAUUUGUGACUGCAUGGCUAGAGUACGGUAGAGGGGGAUGGAAUUCCGCGUGUAGCAGUGAAAUGCGUAGAUAUGCGGAGGAACACCGAUGGCGAAGGCAGCCCCCUGGGCUAGCACUGACGCUCAGGCACGAAAGCGUGGGGAGCAAACAGG
rnacentral:rRNA from 1 species